AACGAACGCUGGCGGCAUGCCUAACACAUGCAAGUCGAACGAGACCUUCGGGUCUAGUGGCGCACGGGUGCGUAACGCGUGGGAACCUGCCCUUAGGUUCGGAAUAACUCCCCGAAAGAGGUGCUAAUACCGGAUAAUGUCUUCGGACCAAAGAUUUAUCGCCUUUGGAUGGGCCCGCGUUGGCUUAGCUAGUUGGUAGGGUAAAAGCCUACCAAGGCGACGAUCCAUAGCUGGUCUGAGAGGAUGAUCAGCCACACUGGGACUGAGACACGGCCCAGACUCCUACGGGAGGCAGCAGUGGGGAAUAUUGGACACUGGGCGAAAGCCUGAUCCAGCAAUGCCGCGUGAGUGAUGCAGGCCUUAGGGUUGUAAAGCUCUUUUACCCGGGAUGAUAAUGACAGUACCGGGAGAAUAAGCUCCGGCUAACUCCGUG
rnacentral:rRNA from 1 species